AUUGAACGCUGGCGGCAUGCUUUACACAUGCAAGUCGAACGGCAGCGCGGGCCUCGGCCUGGCGGCGAGUGGCGAACAGGUGAGUAGUAUAUCGGAACGUACCCAAGAGUGGGGGAUAACGUAGCGAAAGUUACGCUAAUACCGCAUACGAUCUAAGGAUGAAAGCAGGGGAUCGCAAGACCUUGUGCUCCUGGAGCGGCCGAUAUCUGAUUAGCUAGUUGGUGGGGUAAAGGCCCACCAAGGCAACGAUCAGUAGCUGGUCUGAGAGGACGACCAGCCACACUGGAACUGAGACACGGUCCAGACUCCUACGGGAGGCAGCAGUGGGGAAUUUUGGACAAUGGGGGCAACCCUGAUCCAGCAAUGCCGCGUGAGUGAAGAAGGCCUUCGGGUUGUAAAGCUCUUUUGUCAGGGAAGAAAAGGCUGUGGCUAAUAUCCACAGCUGCUGACGGUACCUGAAGAAUAAGCACCGGCUACUACGUGCCAGCAGCCGCGGUAACAC
rnacentral:rRNA from 1 species